UGGACAUCCAUGUGUCUAGGGGCUGCAGGGAGCUGGUGGCCGCUUCUGAGAGCCACACGGACAUAGGGCAGGCAGGGAGCCUGCCUUAGCCCCGGGCCCCCGCUGCACCACUGACCAGACUUUUAAUGGCCCGGUUGGCGGUGCUGACCAGAGCUGCUAGGGUCCCUUUUUGACCGGGUGUUUUCUGGUCGAAAACCGGAUGCCUGGCAACCCUUGGGUGGAGAAGAGACCCUGCGGGAUGCAGAGUAGGAAGCAGCUCAGGGAGUAAGCAGCAAGAUUGGGGACUGAACGGACCUUGGCUGUGUGUUGUAGGAUCCCCAGGCUGGAACCCAGAGUCAGGGAACCCAAGCCUGUCCUCUAUCAGCCACCGAGGAAGGGGCACCAUGGAGCAGUGAAAGGGAAGACUGCCUGAGGCUGCUGGUGAGAAGGGACUUUGUGUAAUGGGACUGUUGGGCCCUUACUGAAACUUAGUGUGGUUUUUUGGUUGGCCCUCUCCCAGUACCAAAAGAAAGGGUAAAGAUGAGAAAUCAAGACACUGAGACUGACAGUCCCCAGGGCCAAUGGGGAGAGGCCAAUGCUCCAGGUCAGCAAGACUGACAGGGCAGGCUGGCCAGUGUGGGAGUCAGGAGCGUGGGGUCCCAUCCUCCAUGUCAGCUGGAGCUGCCUGGGCCACAGCAAGACCAAGAUAAGGAGAGAGCAGCAGCCAGAGCCAGAGAGAAUCAGAAUAGCAGCCUGGGGAGCUGAGCUGGAGGCAGAGUGAAGCUGCGGCUGGAGCAGUCUGGCAUCGGGUGUGAGAAGGCUGCAGUUCCUGGAACAAGAGAGAAGCUGCAGAGAGGGAAAGAGAGAGAGUGCGACCACCAGAAGGAGCGUCGGCCUGGCAGAGCUAAUCCCCUGAACUAUCAGGAGGCAGUACUGUCCUGCGGUCAUAUGCUGCUGUAUGCUUUUUUCACUCACUCCUUCCUUCCCUUCCCUUCCUGAAUGCUGUCCUUAUCUAGGGAAUUCCCCUUUGCAAAGCCAGACUACAAUGCUUCCAGCAUGCCAUGCAUAUCUUACAUACUGUCCCAAGAGUCAGCUGCAGAAUUGCCAUUUGUCUGUUGUCCAGUCAAUGAAAAUAGAUUUUCAGUCCUCCAAAUAUGAAUAAUAUCAGUUCUUGAGCUGUGGUUGGCUUGAUUAGCCUGUUCUGCAUGUACCAGGAGAAAACUGAAGGGAUGGAGCUUCAAAAAUAUGGCUGAAGAGUAUGCUGCUGCUGUUAAAUCAAAUAAACCAGUUCUGAAUCCAUUCAUGGGUUUCAGAGGAAAGCUAUCUCUGCCACUGUUAAGCAGAGGCCAAAUGCUCCAAUUCUCUGCUGUUUAACAAGAAUGUUCAGAAGACUGGAUGGAUGGAGGCAUUUUGAGACCUAGCAGUUCUGGGUCUUUGAUGGAAAUGUCCAUGAAGUAGUUGAUAACUUCCUCUAUUCUUUCCUACUUUCUUUACCGUUCUACUUAUUGUAGCAUGAUGUGUGGCAGUCAGUGGCUCUGAGGAUUGGGAAAUUCUGGAAGCAGGCAGCAAAAACUCCCCUUCACUUGCUGUUGCUGAGAAAAUUGGCAAUGCAGUACAGUAUGCCUUGUUGUGAAGUAUCCUGGCCUUUAGAAAUUGUUGCCUAAUUUAAUGGAAAAAGUCAAUAGCCAUUCUCUGAAAUGAAAUUUGGUUCACUUUAUGUCUUAUAGACAUUCAUAUUUAGCUAACUGUUGCUAUUGUAUUUAUGUAAAGGUUAUGCCAAGCCUGGAGGAGGGGAGAAUGACUUAAGGAAUAUGGGUUGUAAGAGAAACUAGUAGCACUGUUAUGCAAGAUCAGUUGCUUAAAGGCAUGCUGAAUCCAACAGUUUUAUAUCUCUCACUGAUAUAUAGUUCAUGAUGAUCAUAUUGGUGUUGAUUGUGGAUUAAUUCCACACUGACUCCUCAUCUCCCUCCUUGCUUUUUAUCGGCACCUUCUGUAGCUGUUCCUCUUUGAGACCCCUGAGCUAUAUCAACAUUUUCACUACAAUGUUCACUGCCAAAUAAUGAAUAAAGUCAAACACGUGGUCCGCGGGGUUCUUCCCUGCAGCCUGCCAAGCUUCCCCGCCCCCCCAGCGCACCACGUCCCCAGCCUACCUCCAGGCCAGGGGUGGGCAAGCUAUGGCCCCGGGCUGGAUCCGGCCCCUCAGGGAUUUGGAUCCAGCCUGCGGAUUUGCCAACCCCGUGGUACUGAGGGCCCCGCACCAGUUCCCUGCGAUCCCCAGGGGACGGGGGGGGGGGGGCGGGAAGGGGAGCAGAGAACUCCGUGAGCUGUUCUUGCCUGUGGUUACCUCCCCUGAAGCUCCCACUGGCCGGGAACACGGGGAAGCACGGCAAAUGGGAGCUUCGGGGGAGGUACCCACAGGCAAGAACAGCUCACUGGAGUUCUCUGCUCCCCCUCCCCCUGGGACCGCAGGGAAGUGGUGUCCACUGCUUCCCGGAGGGGAGUGGCAUGGGGCCGGCGCAAGCAGGGAGCCUACACUGGCCUCAGUGCACACUCCUGCCACCUCGGAGCCGCUCAAGACCUCCAGUUGUCUGACAACCAGAAGGAGACCUGACUAAUCAUCUGGGGGCUUUGAAUUUCUCUGGGGGAGGAAACGGAUACGCACAAUUUAGAGUACGUUAUUUUAGAAAAUGUUAAACUCUUUCUUUUCUGGACCAGGCAGGCUUUUCCCAAGGCAUAAUUCACAGCAAAAUAAGACCUCAGUAAUGUGUAUUAGCUGGAUACAGCUUACGUUGCAUUCACAUAAUGUAAUUGUACGUGUGGUCCUAGCUGUGAAAAUCAUAGCUGUAUCCUUGCCUGGCUAACAAUUUCCUGGGUGCCAUGGUAUUUGCAAGGGCUUUUGAGAAUUCUGUCCCCAUGCUGCAUUAAGCAGUGUCUUAGUUGGAGAGUGGGAUUUUCAGAAGUGCCUAAGUCACUUAGGAAUACAUGUUCCUUUGAAUGUCAAUGAACCAUGUACUUACUUUUGACCAUCCCACCCAGUCCCUACAUCAGAGCCCACCAUCUAUGAGAAUAAAAAUGUACAGUCUAAAGAUUCUUAUAUGAUACUACAGUAUCUGAGCGCCUCAGUUUUUAGUGUAUUUAGCCUCACAACGUCCCUGUGAAGAAGGAAACUAUUGUCCACAUUUUACACCUGGAGAACUGCGACACAGAGACUAAGUGACUUACCUGAAGUCUGUGGCUGAACAGGGAGUUGAACCCAGGUCUCUCAAGUCAGCACCCUCACUACUGGCCCAACCUUCCUCUUUACAUGUGAGGGAGAAGCAUGAUUUAUAUAAAACAUAUACUUUUAAACAUCUAUCUAUGCAUUUUGUUUUCUACUCUCUCCUUUGGGCCCCCAUGCUUGAAAUGGGAACUACACUUAGAACUACAUAAAAAGAUACCAACUAGAGGAAAGCUGAGCACUCUGACUUCAUGCUUCCAUGUGAAAGCUGCAGAGCUGAGACUUGAGCUCAGUCCCUCAUACUUCAGGAGCAACACUGUGGUGCAUGCCAUGCUGCUGGGGAACCGAGAGAGUGAUUUUUUUUUUCUGCAGUAGUGAACCCUGCUGACUUUCCCCUGGAGUGGAAUUAGAUUCUGGAGGAAGACUUGGGCUGUGGAUGUGCUGCUGAGCAUUUGCUAAAAUUUCCCAUGGUUGCUACCCUCAGUUUAGCAUCGCUGGGAGUGCUAGUGCAGAUAGGUCGGCAAGAAGCUCCCAACAGUGCUUAAAAUAUUGUUGGUCCCUUUUCUACACUAGUGCUCUCACUAUUGUUGUAGCUGAUAGGGAAUUUUUGCUAAAAAAGUAGAGAAGGCCUUAUUUCCAUUCUUAUUGGUGAGGGAGGGUGCCCUAUAUGGUGAUGCAGAACCUAUUUUAAAUAAGGAACAAAGGCACGCCUGCUAGAUGUCUUUAUGCUGUUCCACCUCAGGCUGCAGGAAUAAGUGGGAAAAGGGCUGUACUAUUACUUUGUACUGCAACAUAUAUAUAUAUAGUAUUAAAUCAUUUACAAACACA